AAGAUGAAAGGAAGUCAUGAAGGAAAAGCCUGCUGAAAGGUGUGUCAAUAAAAGGACUCAAUCUUCAAAAUAAUUAAUUUACAGUUUAUUAAAGUUUCCCACCACAGUUGGAACCAACCAGCGACAAUGCCGGACAGAACCCCAGACCAACCAGGGAGCGGAUUCUAGUCAACCCUUUUGUGAAACAAUCAGAAACCAGUGUGGUAGUCUUGAAUAACUGUCAAAAUACAAUAAAUAAAUCUGUAUGUUCGCAAUUACAGUAUGUCAAUUCUUUGGAGCUAUGUCUCUGCUGACCUCCAUUUUGGCCACUGAGAAUAAAGUCUCUGAUUUUGUGUUUAA